AGUUAUGAACUUCGUUAACUAAGUUCAUCACUCAAACGCUUUCACUACAUCUCCCAGCAGGGAAGAGCGAAGAUCCAAGGAAUGAGGUUUGCAAAACUUCUUCUGGUUCUGUUCCUGAUAGCAGGAAUCUGUUUGGCUGGUGGAAGAAAGGUAAUAAAUAUGGAGGAAACAAGCGUGAAGAAGGAAAACGAAGAAGGCAACAGUGGAAAUAAUAACGGCGAUGGCGGAAGCUCUCUGACUAAUCAUCAUUCUAUUCCCAGACAGGACUUUAAUGGUAAUGGAGGAGAUCAAGGCGGAGCCAAUUGAAUCAAAACACAUAUAAUUAAUAACUGUAUAUUAUCACAUACACACGCGCGCUUGGAUGUUGCUUGAUGUUUCAUUUUGUAUAAUAUAUGGUCGUGUUUGUAACAUAUGGUUGUACGUACGGUGUGGCUCUGUUAUUGUAGUCCUAAUCUGUAUAAUUAAUUGAUGUGUGAUUUGCCACGAUAUAUACUGUCUCUCUGAUUAACCAAUUGCAAGAAGCUUGUUUUA